rnacentral:misc_RNA from 1 species
CCUGAGUGUCUUAAAGAAUGUCUUGAAUAACCUUUCAAGUGGCUUCUUUCUGCAGCUGAAUGAGACUGUUGAUGUGGGAAGGUAUCAAGUCCCAUCAACUUGGCAACAACAUUUGGUGGAUUAUGUCUAGAAUCCACUUCUUUGGACAUUUCUUGGGCUAUGAGCGUCUUCAUGGGUGUUCCACUUGCUUUCUUGUUUGAGGAGCUUCUCCUUAACUCGGACACAAUCAUUUUAUCUUCAAUCUGAUCUGCAAAGGGUGCACUCAGACUCAGCAUCCUUGCCACAUCUGACCGACUCCUUGAGAAUAAAGAACCAUGUGGUUUAUCUGUAAGCAGCCUGUUUCCAGUUGCACCAUUGCUUAAAUCAAAAAGGU